rnacentral:rRNA from 1 species
GGGGGGGGGGGGGGGGGGGGGGGGGGGGGGGGGGGCGGGGGGGGGCGGCGGGGCUGGGGGCGCGCGGGGGGGUGGCGCGGGGGGAGCUGCCCUUGGGUUCGGGAUCCCUCCCCGCCCGGGGUGCUAAUCCCGGGUAAUGUCUUCGGCCCCAAGAGUUCUCGCCGUUGGAUGGGCCCGCGUUUGAUUAGCUGGUUGGUAGGGUAAAAGCCUACCAAGGCGACCAUCCAUAGCUGGUCUGCGAGGAUGAUCAGCCACACUGGGACUGAGACACGGCCCAGACUCCUACGGGAGGCAGCAGUGGGGAAUAUUGGAAAAUGGGCGAAAGCCUGAUACAGCAAUGCCGCGUGAGUGAUGAAGGCCUUAGGGUUGUAAAGCUCUUUUACCCGGGAUGAUAAUGACAGUACCGGGAGAAUAAGCGCCGGCUAACUCCGUG